rnacentral:rRNA from 1 species
GAUGAACGCUGGCGGCGUGCCUAAUACAUGCAAGUCGAGCGAACGGACGAGAAGCUUGCUUCUCUGAUGUUAGCGGCGGACGGGUGAGUAACACGUGGAUAACCUACCUAUAAGACUGGGAUAACUUCGGGAAACCGGAGCUAAUACCGGAUAAUAUUUUGAACCGCAUGGUUCAAAAGUGAAAGACGGUCUUGCUGUCACUUAUAGAUGGAUCCGCGCUGCAUUAGCUAGUUGGUAAGGUAACGGCUUACCAAGGCAACGAUGCAUAGCCGACCUGAGAGGGUGAUCGGCCACACUGGAACUGAGACACGGUCCAGACUCCUACGGGAGGCAGCAGUAGGGAAUCUUCCGCAAUGGGCGAAAGCCUGACGGAGCAACGCCGCGUGAGUGAUGAAGGGCUUCGGAUCGUAAAACUCUGUUAUUAGGGAAGAACAUAUGUGUAAGUAACUGUGCACAUCUUGACGGUACCUAAUCAGAAAGCCACGGCGAACUACGU